GCGGCCCUGAUGUAACAGCAGCAAACGAGGCUUCCACCCUCGGAGUGCGGGUGCGAAUCCCGCGGGCCGCG
rnacentral:tRNA from 1 species